CCUACGGGAGGCAGCAGUGAGGAAUAUUGGUCAAUGGCCGGAAGGCUGAACCAGCCAAGUAGCGUGAGGGAAGACUGCCCUAUGGGUUGUAAACCUCUUUUAUGCGGGGACAAAGGUGUCCACGUGUGGAUGUUUGCAGGUACCGCAAGAAUAAGGACCGGCUAAUUCCGUGCCCGCAGCCGCGGUAAUACGGAAGGUCCGGGCGUUAUCCGGAUUUAUUGGGUUUAAAGGGAGCGUAGGCCGGUCUUUAAGCGUGCCGUGAAAUUUUGUGGCUCAACCGUGAGAGUGCGGCGGAAACUGGCAGCCUUGAGUGCGCGGGAGGCAGGCGGAAUUCGUGGUGUAGCGGUGAAAUGCUUAGAUAUCACGAAGAACCCCGAUUGCGAAGGCAGCCUGCCGCAGCGUUACUGACGCUGAGGCUCGAAAGCGCGGGUAUCGAACAGGAUUAGAUACCCUAGUAGUC
rnacentral:rRNA from 1 species